GUGCCAGCAGCCGCGGUAAUACGUAGGAUCCGAGCGUUGUCCGGAAUUACUGGGUGUAAAGGGCGUGUAGGUGGAUCUCUAAGUCGGUGGUGAAAUCCUGCAGCUUAACUGUAGAAUUGCCUUCGAUACUGGAGAUCUUGAGUGCGGCAGAGGGAGACGGAAUUCAUGGUGUAGCGGUGAAAUGUGUAGAUAUCAUGAAGAACACCGGUUGCGAAGGCGGUUUCCUGGUCCGUUACUGACACUGAGGCGCGAAAGCGUGGGGAGCAAACAGGAUUAGAAACCCCGGUAGUCC
rnacentral:rRNA from 1 species